rnacentral:lncRNA from 1 species
UUCGUGGCUCUGCUCAUCCUCUUGCUCACAACUGGCCACAUCUAGUUUGGCCAACUUGCGUUGAACUUAGGUUCCACAGGUUGCAUUCAUAAUCUUUCCUUUGAUUUUAAUUUAUGUAUAUAUAUAAAAGCUUCUAUCAAGAGGAAUCACCCGAAUUAGAUUGAAGAAGAAAGUAUGGGCAAUUAGUGUUAGGUUUUGAGUAUCCAAGGGGGGAAGAGAGAGAGAGAUAGAGCAUACCUAGUAGUGGUCAUCAAAUCAAGAGGGGUAG